rnacentral:rRNA from 1 species
UACGUAGGGGGCAAGCGUUGUCCGGAAUCAUUGGGCGUAAAGAGCGUGUAGGCGGCCCGGUAAGUCCGCUGUAAAAGUCAAAGGCUUAACCUUUGAAUGUCAGUGGAUACUGCCGGGCUAGAGUCCGGAAGAGGAGAGUGGAAUUCCCGGUGUAGCGGUGAAAUGCGCAGAUAUCGGGAAGAACACCUAUGGCGAAGGCAGCUCUCUGGGACGGUACUGACGCUGAGACGCGAAAGCGUGGGGAGCGAACAGG